GGGACUAGAAUAGGGUCCUGAGGUCCAAGUCGCCGUGGGAGAAGCUGCAAAGAACCGAGUGUCCGAAUCACCGAUUCCCGCUCCACCUAGUUGCACCUUUCCGACCAGGGGCGGUUCUGAGAAGCUCACUGUCUGUGAACCAACAAAGUCUUGGAAGGAUGCCACAAGCUUUCCAGCUGCUCCAGGGCAGGAAAACUUCCUGGCCAGUAAAUACCGGACUGUGGAUUUCUAAGGAGAAGAGUCCUGUAUCUGUGGAAAUAUGAGCGACGUGUCAAAUUCUAUUUCCUCUUUGUCCUAGCUGUCCUCACCACCUGGAGUGCCUUUCCCACCCUCGCUUCCACGAAUGGAAAACUGUUUUUCGAGACUCUACUCAAAUACCUCCAAGGAAGCGCCGCCAGACCGCCUUACCUGGAGGUCCUCUUCCUCCGAACUCAUAGAACCUCACAGUUUGGGAGAGACUGGCCUCAACUGGAAGGAACGGUGGCACGGUGACUGAGGAUGACCCUGGGAAACCUGUAGACAGAACAUGAAUGCGGAUUACGUGGAGAGCGGCCUUGCAGAACCCUGAGGCAGCAGCAAGAAGAGUUGAUGCCCUUGGCGCUAGAAAGAAAGAACAGAGGGUUGGGAGGAGAGAGAGGCGGGGCUCUUGGGGGAGCGGAAAUACAGCGGGGAGGCAGCUCUAGGGGCCACGGGGGAGGCUGGGACGAGGCUCCCUCCACGUGCUCUAGGGGAGACGGGGAAAGAUCAUCUGUGGUAAGGCCCUGGCUCCUGGAGACCAUUCCUUGGUGGCAGGAGCCUUUUUGCUUUAAGACUUGAAAGUAUGGACGCUGCAGGCCGAGGCAGUGGUCGCUACAAAGGGCCCGCCAGUCCACCAAGGGAAGAGAGUGUCUGGUCUUGCUGUGGAUCCGAAGCGCAAACAUCCAGAGGUGGGGUGAGUGCGCCGCGCUGCCGGGUGGGGGACUUUGAGUGGCGGUGCGCCCCCGGCUGCCAGUCAGACGACCAGAAGGAAACCAUGCUCCAGUCUCAGUCCCCGACCCUGCCGCCAACUGCAAGGCAGAACCGUCGCAGAGGCAGAGAAAUACUUCUGUCCUUUUCUGCUCUCCACUUUUCUUAGCUUUCAAGUGAUUUCAAGAUCUGGACAGGAGAAAAGAUAAAAGCCUUUUUCCCUGCUUGCUUUCUUGUUUGCUAGAGGUGCUUCGGCCUCACUUACACCUUGUCUCAGAACCCUGACUGGGUGCAUCUCCACCCCCACCUCUGUCCAACGCCUGCAGCUCAGUGAUACAUCCACACACCUGCUGCGGCCCAGAAGGCUCAUGCUGGCCUCUUCUCUCUACCCACGCAGAUGACUGUCAGCUCCCUACCUGCAGGGGCAUGUGGUGGGGUCUCCUCCAAAUCCCUUUGUGACCACUACCUCUCCCCCACCUCUCUCCCAUGUCAACUUGCUUCGUAGCAGGCUGGACAGGACCGGGCCUGUAAGGACUCUUUGGUGAACGCGCCAGCAUGUGGCAUCUGUGGCCUAACCAAACCUUUCCCAUCCCCAUCCCGCUGAUCCAGCGCACUGGAGACUUCCACCCACCCUUUGAUUUUUAGCGUUGAUCUUUGGUUUUUUGCCUAACACACGGGUUCAGGUCAUCUUCCAAUUGCCCUUUCCAAAUUGUCUAGUUUUAUACUGGUUUCUAAAUAGCGGGUACCUAACAAGGAUCCCAGCCAGGCCAAUCCCAUCCAGGUGGCCUCCCUUUCCCGCGUCAGCAGCAGGCACCUGCGACACCCCCACAGCCUGUGCGCUGCCAACUGUGAGCGCCGUAGGGCAGAAAAACUGUGCUUAUCGGGGCACAGAAUCUAGUUCCACUCGUAUCUAGUUACUUGUAUGUUCUGGGGCAUUUGCUUUCUCUUGUCUGAAAAGAUCUUAGAAAUCUCGGAUCCGUGCUCAAUUAGCAAUAGGUUUUCCUAUCAGACAGUUCAGCCAAUUACUGUCAGAUAAAGUAAAUAUGACGAUGUAGCUUGGUUUUUAGUCUAUAUGUCUGCCUGGGUUCACCUCCAUCACCUGGAACAUAGCACAAGCCCCUCCCAUCGGAUAUUUGAUUACAGAUCUUGCUGAAGUGGUGGCAAAUUCCCUGGGGGUGCUUUAUAAACAUAUAUAUAAAAUAAAGUUAUACCUCGUGUUAACCAUUACAAUAAACUGAACAACUGAAAUAUGGUA